GGUGGGGCCAAGCUAUGUCCAGGGACGGGGGUCCCCAGAGUCGCGCCAUCCUGGCGUUCCCCAGACCUGUGGGGUCUCCACGCAGGGCCGUGCUCAGCCAGCGGGGCCGCCCUGCUAGCCACGGGUCCACUGAAGGUCACUCAGAAAACCAGGGGCCUGAGACUGGGCCGGCACGGCUGCGUCCUCCUGGACAGGACGCUCUCCGGGCGGACGCCCCGGUGAGGCUCCGCACACUCCUGAACUGCAGGCCCCGACUCGACCGGGCCGGCGAGCAGUGGCCGUUAGAAUUGCAGGAGAGGGACUAGCUGGGACUAGGUGGUUCCAGCCAGCUGCUGUGGGUCAGCUCCCUGUUGGCUGGGACUCGCUUCCUGGCCUUCCUUCAGGUAGCCACCAGGGGGCGCCCGGGGCCAGGCAACGCCUGUUCCCAGCGCCAGAAGCGGCCGCCCUGUCCUGCCUUUCGCGGGCCACCCCGGCCUCCUCCUCCCAGGCUCUGUUCUGCCCCCCAGCACACUGCCCGGGCACACUCCACCUGACUUGCCUGCCAUCACCUCCUCCAGGAAGCCUUCAGGUCCUCUCUGCCUCGCCCCAGCCUCCUGGGCUUUCCUCCCAUGCCCUGGCGUCGGCCGCGUUUUCUCCUCGCCUCUGCCUCCCCACAGGGUGGGGUGGCCUCUCUCAGGGCCUGAGUGUCGCGUGAUGGCUGUUGACAUCUCCGGGAGGCGUAGACGCCUGCCACCACCUUCCACUUUAUUCUGAGCCUGGCGCCCCGGGGACGGGGAUCCCAAGAUAAACAGGCCCUGGGCCCUGCCUUCCAGGAGCUCAGAGGCUCAGGGCAUGAGCAAGUGGUGCCCCGCACCCCACGCCCUUGCAGACAAAGCACGCCUUCCGAGCCCUGACCGGCUCCCGGUUGGCUCCCAUGUAUGUCCCCGUGGACGGCGGCCCUCACCCGACUCCGGCACGGCGGCUGGGGCAGCCUGGCGGGGGAAGGGCAGCUGCGCUGCGCCAGGCCCCUCAAUUUCUGGCCCACAUUCUACCGUCUCCCCGCUGUGUGCUCCAGUAAGUCUCUGGGCCUCGCUGUCUGCUUACCUGGAAAGUGGUUCUAAUCAACUGUGACCUUCGUGGCUGUUUUGAGGAAGAGAGAGAGUGUGUGAAGCCCUUGGCAAGGUCCCGGUCCACACUGGCAGUAGGUGCUCCGGUGCUUUUGCCCCUCCCUGGGUACCCACCUGACCCUCCAACACCAGCUCCAAUGGCCCCUCCUCCCUGAAGCUCUCCUCAACCUGUCCUCCUGCGUGGAAGGGUUUGUGCCAGCUGAGCAUCUUCAGUUGCAGAAGGGAGACAAGCCUGAGCUUGUGCCGAGAAGUCCCAGCCAAGGACUCACACUGUCUCUUUGGGGCCAUCUCCUUCUCUCCGUCCUUUCCCAUCUUUAAUCCUCCCUGCUUCUCCUUAUGCACUGGCCUAUCCUCACCCACUGCAGAUGGCAUCCCCUCCGUGCUGGGAUGAUGGCCCCAGAGAAGUCCACUGUCCAUUAUCCUCAAAGCCCCCAACCCCGCCCUCAAGUCUACGUAAAACUCUCAUGGAAGGAUCUGAUUGGCUCUGUUUGGGUCAUAUGUUCACUUUUUAAGCCAAUCAGCAUGGACAUGAAUAUCACAUGCCACAGGUGGCCAGGCCAGGGGGUGGGGAGAGCACUGUGAUUGACAGUCCACAGGGAUGGGGCAGGAGGCUUUCCCCAAAGGAAAGAGGAGAACUGGGUACACAAGCGGCCGGCAUUGUGACCCCCACAUGCAGAUGGGUAAAGCGAGGCUGGGAGAGGUGAAGCAGCCUACCCAGAUGCAAGCUGCGGCAGGGCUCCCCUUUUCCCUGUUAAGGGGACCUUCUGGAAUUUAAGAGAACAUUUAUGAAUAUGAGAAAUGGGCCGUCUUUUCCUGGCGUGGGUUUGCAAGGUGCUGGGCCGUGGUGUUGCACCAUGAGAGCAGGCACCUGUCAGCCGAGUCUGCACCUGAACGCCCGGAGGAUGAGUAACUGGGCUUGCAACGACUUUAAUUAUCUCACUUUUUCCACUAAAUGGAGCAGAAGAGCCAGCAUUGUGCCAAAUCACCCGGCGUCAGGCUUUGUUUUGUGGACUGUUUCCUAAAGAGCAAAAGGAGGGGACGCCUUCCCCCUUCGCUGGGUGUGGGAGGGACUGUGGCCUCCGAGCCAGCCCCCAGUGCCUGGGCAGGGCCCUGCCCCGAGAGUCGUCCCUCUGUCCACUCUCUGUCACCCACUCGCCUUCCUCCUGCUCCCCUGUCUCCUCUCUGAGUCACGGCCCACUCGGGCAGGGCCGCAGGCCACACACACCAUUGGAAUCGGGAGUACCUAUUGGCACUCAGUAGAGGAGGGAGAGAUGUCACGAGCUCAGCACUGUCCGUGCUCACCGGGGCUGGGCUCCCUCAUAGGCCCAGCUUUUAUAGAUGGGAAAACCGAGUUUAUAAAGUGCGGGGUAGGGCAGAGCCCGAGGUCUGACCAGUCCAUCUGAGCUCAGUGUGAGCCUUUGUCUUUCGGCUCUGAGCAACAGGCAGGCAGAGCGGUCUCCAUCCUCAUUUUAACAGUGAGGUCAGCUGGGGGAGUAAGCCAGAGAGCAGACGCCAGAUCAGAUGGCCCCGAAGCUCAGGUGGGCCAACGCUGCCCAGCUGUGGGCCCUUCUGCUCCGCGGCAGCUACCUGGGCCGGGGCGGGAAACCUGGGCCUGUGGGGCUUUUGACAAACAUAGCUGCUCCACCUGCAAGCUACUAAGUCCACAGCCUGGGCCCGGCCAGUGGGGGCCGUGGACUCCUCAGGUGAGAGCCCUCCUGACCACAGGCUCUGGGAGGGACCACUUCAUAAGGCCAUCAUAGAGCUGUCCCCCAGUGGAGGUCACAAGGGAAGUCUGAAGGGGAGAGGGCUGCAUGCCCUGCUGCUCUGGGCUGUCCACCUCUGCUGCUGCCCGUGCACUGCGGAAUUUCAGCACGUGUCCUGGGCCUGGCCCUCCACAGAUGCAGGAUCCGCCCUCCGACAAAACAGGCUGCAAGCCUCUGGCCCCGGCAGCACUACCACCCAUGUGUGAUUUCCCCUAGGAUCCUGGCAGGUGUCCCCCACCCCACCCCUAGGACAGAGCCGGAGCCCAGUGGAUGCUGUUGAGAAGCAAAGUUGGGGCCGGGGCAUCUGGCAGUCUCCAGACAGGUCCCCGCCUGGCAAGCUGCUGAGCCGGCAGGACUGAUGGGGUUGUGCCGCCGCCAGGAGGCCUGAGCUCAUCCCAGCUGGUGGCCCUGGGUCGUCAGCUGCCUGGGGUCUUCAGAUUUAGGUCCCAGCAUCCCUCAGCAGAGAUGGGACCCGGUGCCUGCCCAGAAAGACCUGUUUGUGGGGUGCAGUCCUGUGAGGCUGGGCAAAGGGAGCUGGCACAGAGGGCAGCCCUGGGAGGAAGGGAGCGGGUGCGGCCAUCCGUGGAGGGGCUUGGGGACAGCCUCCUGGAAGAAUUUUCCCAGAGAGUGGAAGGGCAUUCAGAUAGAGGGAACAGCAUGUCAGAAGGCUCUGAAGUGAGGAAGAGUGAGUGAUGUGGCCACAGCUUCGUGCUGAGGCAGAGGCAAAGUCACAGGGUCAGUAAGUGCUCCUGGCCUCCCCAUGGGGUGCGGUGAGGGAGUCCAGUGUGGGAAUGCCAGGCUGAGGGGCAGAGCAGAGAGGCCAAUCAGCAGGCGAGAUGGUGGUGGUGCGGACAGAGAGGGUGCAGGGAAGGGCUGGCAGGAGGAGGGCCGUGCACGCCUCGGGUGGAGCUCCCCGCACUCUGCACCCCGCCGUUGCCCACGACGCCGCUUAGGAUUCCUUCUAAACAGUUGAGACGUGGCCGAGCGGGAAGGCGCUUUACCCUGGGAAGGCAGGGACAGGUUUCUGGGGCUUUCUGCCUCGGCGCCCCACCCACAAAGCUGUGGGUUCGCAGGAAGUCACCCCUCCUGCGCCUGUCUGCAGACUGGGGACACUGGCAACGCCCCUCCAUCGAGCUGUGAGCCGCAGCCUGGCCCCCUGCCACCCUCUCACCCUCCUCAGGAACCCAGGGUACAGGCGAGGAGCUGGGGAGGGAGGGGACUCCCGAAGGCUGGAGGCCCAACCGUGUGCUCACCCGCAGGCAGCUGCUGGGGGGCCUUCCCUGAGCCCCACCCUGCACCCCCAGUUCUGUCUCCAUCUGUCUAUCACUGCUCCCUCCCAUCCUCUUCCCUGUCUCCGUCUCUCCCCGUCUCUCUGCCUCUCUCCUUCGCUGUCCUUUCUCACGCACCCCCUUCGGCCUCUCCUGCGCACCUCACCCACUGAACCCAUGAGCCCUGUGCACAUGACCCCCCGACCUCCGCCUCCUCUCUCCGUGCACCUCCGGGAGACGCCCGUGUCUGCUGCCGCCCACCUGCUCCGGCUCUCUGGCCCCACCUUCCUGGCUCCGCGCCCGCCCGUGGACCUGUUUCCUCCCUGGGUCGUGCCUCCCGUUACCUUGGGGACAGGAACGGGGAAACCUCAAGGCCUCUCGUCCCUCCUGGUCCUGACCAGGGCACAUUGUUUAACCCUCCAAGCCUCAGCUUCCUGCCCUGCACGCCUCCCUCCCGGCGUGUCAGAUCCAUGUGAGCACGCACAGUGCUGGGCCGGCGUGUCCAUGUGUGCUCCAGAUUGCCAGGGCUAGCCUGAGGAGCCCUGUGCCUGCAGCGCCUGCUUCCCUGGCUCCACCGUGCCCAGCCUUGGGACGCUGCGGGACACGGGCGGCCUGGGCGGCAGCGGCACCAGUCCGCAGCUCUCUCCUCUCACAGAGCCUCGUACGGGAGCGCCGGGAGCUGCCAGCGUGGCGCCACCAGUCCCAGUGGGCCGGACAGGAUGUGGGCGCCCUCAUGCUGGGCCAUGUCAUUCACCCUUGAGAACAGCCUCGUGCUUCCGUGUUUGCUGUGGGCUCCUUCCUUUUCGAGGCCUGGCCUUGGUCCCGAGCUGCUGAUAAAGGUACAGGGCGCUUGACCUGGCCAAGGGUCUCAGGAGCCCAGGUGGCAGCGCUGGCACACAGCAGCCCUGGGGCACACCUGUGAGGCUGGGUUUGGGCUCGUCCCGGGUCCUCCCUGGGACAAUGGCUUCAAGAUGCCAGAUGGCCAGUUCUGGGGCAUUUGUGGGCUCAGCCCAUCCUUGCCCCUGUGCCGAGUGCUCACGUUGUAGUGAGGUCCCCUGUCGUGGCCCGAUUGCAGAAUGGAGGAUGGACACAGAAAGACACACAAAAACACACAGACACAAAAGACGGUACAAGACUACAGCACUUAAAGCACCAGUCGUUUUAUUUUUAUACUGUUCAAUUUGGCAAGUGUCCCUCAGCUACUUUCUCAGCUACUUUCUGGUACGUGACUUCCCACGGGCCAACAGCACCUGUUCCUCUAGACAUAGCACAAGAGAUGCCCUUCACCGUCUGGUGCCAUUUGCAGGAUAACAAGGCGCCUGGCUUGCUUGCAUAGCACAAGAGAGGAAGAUGUUUGCAUCCUGUCCUUCACCAUCUGGUACCGUUUGCAGGAUAACAAGACGCCUGGGUUGCAUGCAAUUCCACAGGUCCUUGGCCGUUUGCCCUGAGGAACAGUUCUUUCUGCACGUCCUGCUAAUUCUGGGAACAAGCAGUGUGCUCCCGUUCUGCUGACCUUGGGUCUUGUCCAGUCUGACCCAGGACGUCUCCUACCUAGGUCAUAACGUAGGUGGCAUUAGACCCAACCCCAGCCUGCCCCAGGAUGAGCCAGUGUCGAGGACAGGGCCAGGUGGGAAGGCAGGAUGCAGCGGGGCGCUCUCCCCGUCGCCCCUCACACCACCUGAGCGCGCCGGGCCAGGCUGGGCAGGGGCUCCCCACGUGCCAUCUAACUGGCUCUACAGCAAACAGGUCUGUUCACAGGAAUUAAGGUUUUAGAUGCGGACUUUUAGAACAAAAGAAUAGAGCUGGAAAGUACAUUUGAAUUCUCCACACACCCCCUUCACCUCCAGGGGUUGGGCAGGUCUCUUCAGAAGGCAGAGCUGCGGGACGACCCCCUGUGGGCCGCCCCCACCGCUCCCCCAGACGGCUUCAGGGAGGCCCACUCCGGUCUCGGGCCCGCCCGCCUCAGCCUGCGCAGGAUCAUCUGGGGCCUCGCUGAGAUGUCCGGUGGCUGUGUGUGACCUCCCACGGCAUCCGUCCCCGUUCACCGCUCCGGCACCUAGAGAGCACCUGCAGGGGACGGGCACCUGCGCCUGCAGGCCCAGCAGUGGGCGAGAGAAGCUCCAGCCUCCAGCCGGCCGUUUCCGAACCAACUGCCGCGCGGUCUCGGGGGCCAGAGCCGCCCUGCCGGGCCGGGCUCUGCGCCGGGGUCCACUCACAGAGCACUGGGCCACCGGAGGCCGAGCCGGGCUCUGCGCUGGGGUCUGCGCGGCUGCCGCUGGGGUCCCCGUCCACUCACAGAGCACUGGGCCACUGGAGGCCGAGCCGGGCGGGGGACACAGAUGGGGCGGAGCCGCAGGCUUGGCGAGCCCUGUGUUGGGCAGCGCAGUGCUCAGCGUCUCCCACCAGUCGUCAUGGCCACCGGGCUCCUGCCCCGGGCGUCUGGCUGGGCCCAACCAGUGGGGCCACAAAGGUGCUGGGGUGGCAGGGGAGAGGCCGGCGUCCGUUCCUCGCGGUCUGCUGCCUUGGGGCGACCGCAGCCUCAGUGACAGCUCCUGAUGGUGGCCUCGUCACACGGCGUCACCACUCUCUCGCCCCUCAGUCUCUCUCUAGCUCUGUCUUUCUCCCCAUGUCUCCCCCUCUCUCUGUCUCUCUCUGUCAUCUCUGUCUGUCUCUCUGGUAACGCUUCCCUCCCCUCACCCCUCUGGUCUGGGGUUGGCGGGUGACAGAAUCCUCAAACUUACCAGCCCCAAGGCAUUGCACUUUCCCUUGUGGUUCCCUUAGAACCUUCCAGAACAUUUGUAAGUAGCCUUUUCAUGGCGCUCUUCUGCAACCGCCUCUGGUGUGCGCUCCCUGCCCUGAUGGGCUCCCUCUCCCUUGCGAGCCUGGGAGCCCCAGACGCCCAGAGAGCCCUGCUGGAGGGUGUCUGCCUGCCGGCACCCCCCUCCUAGAGGGGCCAGCGCUGCAGACCGUGGGCUCCAGGGACCACACGGGCUGGGCAGGAAGCCACCAGAGCCACUCUGGGCCAGGCUGAAACCCUCAAGUCACCUCAAGGGACUCUUGGCCAAAAUUUGCCAGUCCCCAAGCUGAGGAGAAGGUUCUUUCCAUGAGGAAGUGAGCAGGCCAGAACUCUGAGCGCGGACUUGCCAGCAAGCAGGGCGUCUGGGUAGGGUCCUUUCUUUUCGCAGCGCCGUGCCUUCAACCUUGGGAGAUAUUAGCCGUCACCCCACCCUCUGCCGGGGAGACGACCGGGGCGCAGCUCCGCGAGCCGGGCACAGGGCACUUCCCAGCACGCCCAUCCAGAGGGACGGCGAGAACCGGCCCACAGGCGGGACGAGGGGCACCUUCCCAACCCCCGCCCGUCCUCGUCCUCGUCCUCCCGUUCCCCAGAGACGUCCCAGGCGGGGCCUUGGGCACCACGCUCUCCUGACGCCACUCCUCCCACGGGAGGAAACGCCCGUUAAGGACACAAACGUGCCGCCAGAGGAGCAGCGGGUCUGCGCUCCGUGCGCGGUGGGGCUGUUGUCAGCUGCAGUUUAUUGUAUAUUUCAGAGCGGCUGGGAGAAAUUUGAAAGGUUCCCAACACAAAGAAACGGUAAAUGUUCCAGGUGAUGGAUGUCCUACAUACCCUGAUUUGAUACACUCAUCGUUCGCCCCAUGAAUAUGGAAAGGAAACCUUGUUACGAGGGAAUGUGUCCCCUGCAGCCUGUGACAGGGCAUCGUGCAGUUUCCCCGGAGCCGGUCCUGGAGCAUCUGAGCCCUGCAGGCCCCAGGUGCCUGAUAAGAUGCCCUGUCCUGUCCAGUGUCACCCCCAGAAGCACAGCUCGGCUCCAAAGGAAUAAAAGGAUUUCCACUUUCUGGGGACCUCUGUGAAGCACCUUAAACAGAACCACUUCUUCACCCUCAUUUUUGCUUUCUGGACCCCUCUUCCUCAGCCCCCCCAGGUGCCUUGCACCCCACAGCUGCUCCGGGCCUCACAGGGGUCACACCCCAAGACCCUUUGGGCGCAGGCCCGCUGGCUGCAUGUCCUCUCCUGCCCUUGUCGUGCACAUUCGCUCACCCUUUCUCCUUGGGAGAGGAGGGGAGAGGCGGGACGGGGAGUGCACAGGUGGGAAAUCCUUGGUGGGGCGGGGGUCUGCGGCCACCUGCACGCGAGUGCCCCUCUCCACGGCAGUGCACACUCACGGCUCACCCAUCU